UACGAGAGGCCCAAACGUUAUUCGGAUUUACUGGGCUUAAAGAGUUCGUAGGCGGUCCGUCAAGUGGGGUGUGAAAGCCCUCGGCUCAACCGAGGAAUUGCGCUCCAAACUGUCGGGCUCGAGGGAGAUAGAGGUGAGCGCGACUGAUGGUGGAGCGGUGAAAUGCGUUGAUAUCAUCAGGAACACCAGAGGCGAAGGCGGCUCACUGGGUCUCUUCUGACGCUGAGGAACGAAAGCUAGGGGAGCAAACGGG
rnacentral:rRNA from 1 species